CGGACCCAGAAGGAUUCCGAACAUUUGCUGAGAAACAUCAACUCAAGCUGCAGGCGUACAGUCCUUUUGGAAGCGGCGGUCAUGGUUCGGAGCAGAUUUUGAAAGGAAACCUAACAACGUCCAUCGGGAAGAGCCAUGGAAAGUCG
rnacentral:snRNA from 1 species